CUUGGAUAAUGAAUUAGGGAGAGGAAGAUAAAUGGUGAAUUGAGUUUGGUAAAAAGUGACCCAGGUUAUCAUUGGGUGUUAGGCUCUUAACUCGGGAGCUGAAUGAAAAAUGGCAAAAAUGUGAUUAUUGCCAGACUUCUCUCUCAUGCACACUUUUAUUCAAUAAACUCACUAAAUCGUGAAAACCAAACCACAAGAUUUUGGCUAAAAAUGGCUAAAUCAAGAACAAGACUUUCU